rnacentral:rRNA from 1 species
UACGUAGGGGGCAAGCGUUGUCCGGAUUUAUUGGGCGUAAAGAGCGUGUAGGCGGUUUGGUAGGUCCGCUGUGAAAACUCGAGGCUCAACCUCGAGACGCCGGUGGAAACCAUCAGGCUAGAGUCCGGAAGAGGGGAGUGGAAUUCCUGGUGUAGCGGUGAAAUGCGCAGAUAUCAGGAAGAACACCCGUGGCUAAGGCGGCUCUCUAGUACGGUACUGACGCUGAGACGCGAAAGCGUGGGGAGCGAACAGG